UCCUUCCCCCUUUCAAUUUCAGUUUCCCCUCCCCCGAUUCCUUCUCUUUCACCCAUCAGUUUAUUUUUGCUUUUUCUCCCCCACAUUGCUGUAGCUUUUCCUCUUUUCCACGCCUAGAUUUUCCUUCCCCAUUAUCUCUCCAUUCCAAUUCCUUUUCUUCUUCUAAGUUCUUCCACCCGCUAACUCCUCUACACGGUUUCAUUUUUAUUUUCUUCCUCACAUCAAACUUCUGUAAGUGCAGAUCACUCUCUCUCCCUAUUCUGCAAAAUUUUUUGAGUGUAAGUGCUAUCAUGCAUGGGUCUCCUUGGAUUUCUGGUGUUACCGUCAAUCGUCUCCACCAUCGUUGAUGAUCAAAAUUAUGGAGCAUGGAUGAGAUGUUUUAAGCAUAGUAGAAUUAGCAAAGUUUUUAUGAGUAAUGGCAAAUUUUAUUAAGUAAUUUUGACGUAUUUCUCA